GAUGAACGCUAGCUACAGGCUUAACACAUGCAAGUCGAGGGGACACGGCAUCGAAAGCUUGCUUUUGAUGGGCGUCGACCGGCGCACGGGUGAGUAACGCGUCUCCAACAUGCCCCUCACUUGGGAAUAACCUUGCGAAAGUAAGACUAAUGCCCAAUGACAUCCCACGAAGGCAUCCGAAUGGGACUAUCGAUCUAUCGGUGAUGGAUGGGGAUGCGUCUGAUUAGCUGGUUGGUGGGGUGACGGCCCACCAAGGCAACGAUCAGUAGGUGUUCUGAGAGGAAGGUCCCCCACAUUGGAACUGAGACACGGUCCAAACUCCUACGGGAGGCAGCAGUGAGGAAUGUUGGUCGAGGGGCGAGAGCCUGAACCAGCCAAGUAGCGUGCAGGAGGACGGCCCUAUGGGUUGUAAACUGCUUGUAUAAGGGAAUAAAGUGAGUCACGUGUGACUUUUUGCAUGUACCUUAUGAAUAAGGACCGGCUAAUUCCGUG
rnacentral:rRNA from 1 species